GUUAAUAACAAUAGAUAUUGUAUACAAGUUGAAGGUCCAAUAUGUUAUAUAUUAAUAGUUAUGAAAAUAUUUUAAACAUUUGAAAUAAAAGGUUUCGAUCAAACAUUAAUCACCGCCAUCUAUUGUCACACUGAAGCGACCUCUUUGUCUGAGGGUGACCGAGAAAAGAAGUCGGAUUCUGGACAAGGUCAGUGAACGAAGAAGCGUAGAUAAUAAAAUAACAUUCAACGAAAUUCUUCUGCCCAAUAAUGAGUUCCGAAGAUAAUUUAUAUUCGAGUUAUCUAAAAUGCAAAACAUGCUAUAAAUAGAAAACUCAUAAUGAAAUGUUUUAUCAAACAAAAACAAACACACAUGUCUGGCGAGCUGUUUAUAACGUAAUGAUUUAGUUUUAUGACCACACUUGUGUUACAUAAUGUCUAAUCUUUAGUAUGAAAAAGCGACAUAACUGCCUAUAGAAAAGCGAUAACAUGAACAUAAAAGCGAACUUUAUUGCUUUAUUCAUCAUUCAGCCAUAUAAAUUCAUCAAGACACUUGUUAAUCGUAAAAUAAAUCUUAUUACACAGUAAAAUGAUGUUUAAAUUGACGACAAGCGUUUUAUUUUCGUCAUAACAAUAAAAUUUAUUUUUAUGAGCGGUGAGCUAGUGUAGUUGUGUUAAGCGCCAUCUAGCGGUAUCCCCCGGGACCACGUCGUCACGGCAGUUAGGUGACGUCACGUUGAUGGCAAGAGCUUUUACGAUGCGUACGUUUCAAUGAAUGGAGGUGUCGUAAAUGCGGAUUUGGCGAUUUUAGUUAAGUGCAAUCUUGUAGUCACUUCCUACGGGCUCGUGUACAUGUUUAUUGAAUGAAUUAUGAUUGUGCAUAAAACAUUUUUGACUACGACUUCUCUGUGUUGUUAUUUUCUAAUAUUUUUGUUCGGUACGAGAAUUCUAUAUCUGACCACGCAGUUUUAAAUCUUAAUUAUUUUGAAGAAAAUAAUCUAAUAAAUUCUGAAGAAUUAUUUGCCCAAACUAAAACUAUACUUCUGACCGAAAUUAAAAUUAUGGAUUAUUAACAGUAUAAAUAUAACAAGUUAAUUUAGUAAAAAAACGUUCCGAAUAAAUAUUUCACGAGCACACUAGUUCCUACUCCCGACACCACCCGAAUGAGAUCAAAUGCACACACACAAAUGUCCCCACGCACUUUCCUACAUUAAAACUUAACUAACUUUGCAUAAUUGUCUCAUUCACGCACGUACAAUCGUUACGGGACGACGGUGAUGCCAUCUCUGUCGCACACGAUCGUCAAAAUGGCUUCCAAACGAGAUAUUUUGAAGGAACGCCGCCAACUUUUGUUGGUGUAAUGGGCGGAGCGUGCAUGCACAGGGGCGCAUUCAGUAAUGUCAUCUAGUGUGAUAAAGUUGACAUUUUCUUUAAAUUGAUUUAGAAAUUAUUCAUAAGUAUUAUAAUCGUUUCUUGUUUAUUAUACUAAGUAAAUCCAUCUUAUAUCAUAGUAAAUUAUCAUUUCGAAGAUUUAUCAUCAAUAUAUUGGGAAAAUUAUCAUUUAUCAUUUAGCCGAAUAGGUAAGACAUUAAAUAAUACAUUUCUGACGCAAGUAAUUAAAAUUUAAUAAGGCAGUUUAACGGUUUAGAUAUUUUGGGCUAGCAUUUUGAAAACCAAAACCGAAUUUUACAAUUAAAUCAUUUUAACAAAAGCUUAAUUUUGUUGUUAAAAGGAGAACAUUUGAUUAAGGUGACAAACGACUAGUCAAAAAAAAUAUUUUUUUCUAUUUCUUGUAGGUAACAGAAACAGACAUUUUAUAAUUCAAUUACAAAAUAAAAGUACUUUACUUCCUCAAGGAUACUAAAUUAUCGCUUAAAAUGCCUUAAGAAUGCGCACCUGUGUUUAAGUGGAAUCUCAAAAGAUAACGUGUGGAUGUAUUUAAAUGCCAAGACUGGAAAACUUUAUAUUUACCCAUCAGUUACCUACUUGAAAAAUCUGUACGUAAAUCCAAGGCCAAGUGCCACCCAAUGCUGUAUUUAUUUCCUCUUGGCUGAUUCAAGGCGACGCGUCGACUGAAAUCAAGGUUCACGAUUAAUUAUAAAACGUUCAUUCGGUCAAAACACUUGUAUACUUAUUAUAAAAAACAUCGUCAAUUUUUUGCUUAACUAAAAAGAGGCUAGGCACAAGAUAGGCGUAAAAACAUAAUUUAUAGUGAAGCUUGUUACAUAUCCAGUGUAAGGCCAGUCUGAGUUGUAAUCUAAAUAAUUAAUCAUACACAUGGACGUUGCUGAUGUCACUAUUCAAACCAGCUAUUGUAACACGUCAAGCGUUAUUUAUUUCACUGUGUUAUUGCUUCAAAAAGUUUUUAUCAGAUCUGUUUUAUGCCAGAAUUUGAUUUACAGAUUAAUUUUGUCCUCUGAAAUUUACCUAACAUUUAAACAGGUCAAUAUGUGAAGAGAGAAUCCAUUCUCUAUAUUUUACUAAAAUAAACUAAAUAGAACGAGCACGUGACCAUGUCCGCUUUAAAAAAAUAUAUCUUCCCCAAGGUCACUUGAAUUCGCCCCUGGAACGAGGAAUUUGGAUAUGGCGACUGAUGCGCUGUGCGACGAACGACCAAUGUGAUUUUAUCUAACUUAAAAUGUGUUAUUUGGCUUAAAUUUUUUGAGAAACAAGUGUAUAGUGUAAAAAUAUAGUGUUUAACGACUGUGUUUGAUUAUUUUGUGCUACAUUUUAGAUGGAAUCAAUUAAAUAGUUUAAAUAUUGAAUAUGUUUGUAUCGUCCGCCAUUACGCUCGUUGGCGACGCGUCGCCGUUUGUAGAGAUCGAUAGCCCUAUAUCUAUCUCUGUCACUCUUACGGUAAUAAAAUGUCCUGCACCAAGACUACAGCCUAAAUAGAACAAAAUAAAGAAGAUAAUAUCAUAUAUACUGCAAAUACUGGAAAGAACUUUAAACUACAGAACCAAUCGAUUCAAAAUAAACCAAAAAAAAAAACAAAGAAAUAACACCAACAAAAUUGAAAACAAGCCAUUGUUAUGUUAUACGGAGGUUCUACGAGAAAAAGGCAAUCUACAUGGAGGGUUCGUACCGGACGGCUCGAGAUGAGGAAAUAAGAAUUCAUCCUUUCUCGCCCCGGGAGAGGAGGCCGGGGGGUGGGGCAAGACGGACGACGCCAUUCCAAAAACCCAUUAUACGAGCUCCAGAGCUGUUUUCUAUCUCGGAAAGGAACCCAACCCCCCGCGACCCCACUCAACCUACCUCGCCCCAUCUUCAGGGAUCCUCAACUUUGUUUAUGAAAAUUACCCAUUAAAGUGGCUAUGAAAGUAACGCUUUUGCCACUCCCGAAAUUAAUAAGGAAAUUGAUAUAGAUUAUUUUUAGGUCGCAUUUGGUUCUUGUAUUCGACGAUCGAUACGGUCGUUGCGUUUUGUAUAAAAUAUUUUAAAUAGUGUUCUUUGUUCUAUUUCUUUUAUGUUGAAGUGCGAAUUCAGGGCACAAAGAAUUGGAAAUAUAGUGAUAUACACCCUCUUUUUUGAGCCAAUACAUUCUUGGUGACGUAAUGGGUGAUGAGAAAGACUAUAAAGGGGUUGUUACUACAAGUCCUUAUACACUAUUAUAUUCAUUUUAAAUGUCAUACUAAAGUACCAUGUGAGUCUAAAGUUCUAUGGAACUUCUAGUCGUUGUUAAUGGUUAUUUGUUAGCAGGAAAAAUAGUACUAGUAGAAAAUAGUAACUAGAUUAUUAAUAUAAUGUAAGUAAAGUUUUCUUAGAAGAAAUGCUAAAAUUUUCAGAUUAAUAAAAAGCUUAAACUAAUUUCCCCAACCUCUUUAAAUUAAAAAUGAGAUCACCAAGGAGACUUAUGCUUUUUACUCUCACCCUAGAUUUAUAACGCCAUUAGAAAUUAAAUAAAAAAACAAAAUUAUUACACUUGAACCAAAAUUUAAAUACACAUUACUGUUCUCCCCUCUUUAUUGGGAAGUCUACUGCUUUCUUCAGACAUUUGAAUGUUCCAUCUUUAUCUUGCAUUCGAGUGAAUUAGAUGUUAGAAAGAGAUGUAUAAUAAGCCCGCUUGCGACUCGUAGCUCGAUAUAAAGAAAGAUUAUCCGAAGCCCCUAAGGAAGUUUGAAAUUGCUAUUGUAGCGAAAAGGAUUAUAUGUUAGUGCUACGCCGUAGCGGGUCUACGUCGCUGCGGGGGCCGGAUUCAGGAGAUUGCGUGCCGAAGUUUUAUGUAUACGUAUUGGUUUCAUUUAUAUUACCCUCUAUGAUGUGUAUAGUUGAUAGUAUAUUGUGUACUUUCUGAUUUCGCAAUGAUGUAAUUAUAAGUUUAUUAAAGACUACUUUAGGUAUAUUUUGUGUUCUUGCAUAGUAUGUCCAAUAAAAUUAAUAAAGAUAUAAAUUAUAGAACAAUAUUCUAUAAAUAUCAAAAUUAUAUCCUAAAAUACUUUUAUCACCAUCAUUCCACAUUAAAACACCAUGAAUUUUAUCACUGUAUACUCAUAUAAUUAAAAUAAUCCAUUUGCAAUUUUAAACGUUAAAUAAACAACGUGAUAUCUACAAAGCUGGCAGCAGCGUCGGAGCGGAUUAAUCCGGUUUAAAUCCGGGUAAAUACGCCGGGAUCCGGUUACCGGGCGUGGCGCCGCCGAUACGCUCCCGGCCGAGCCGGGCGGUGUUAAUCCCUGUUUUAAAUUCUGAUAAAAGCCGCACCUGUUAUUCGUAGGCAUUUUAAUGUAGGCAUUGUUGGACUUAGCGCGAUGAAUUUGUAUGAAUUGACAAAGUUUUGGGCUUAUGGCUGUGUGACUUUUAAGCUUUUUUAGAUAAAAAUAAUAUUACAUAAGAAAUUUAACAGCUAAAAUCACAUGUGAAAAUGUAGUAGAUAAAAAAUUAAAAAAAGAAAUGGAAAGACGCUGCAGUUAAACUUAUUUUGCUUCCGCAUUCCUAAAUAAGAAACUUCAGAGUACCUAAUGAUUAAAGUAUUUUUGAGUCGAAACAGGCAAAAACGACGGUAAGAAAUUCCUCUGCAUCCGAAAACAAAAAAUAUUCAAGACCUCCCAUUGUCCACCAACUUCACUUAGCUACUAAGCACUUACGCAACCGAUACAUGACUUAUAUAGUUGCUAAGCGACCGGCCUAAAUUAUCAGAGUGUUAUAACAUUAUAAAUUCAGAUAUCUCGAGCCAUCACCAUUACGAAUUCGAAACGGGAGGGUCGCGCUUACGCAUAAUCCGGUGAGCAUAACGGGAUCGAAAAUGAUACAUAAAUUGUUCAGACGGACUAUACAGACGAUUAAACCCAUUAACAUGGUACACGGGUCACGGGGACCUAGGGGCGUCCAAUCAACAACCCUUUCACGCUGCCGCCAAUGUAGAUAGACCUCAUGUUUGUUUUUACUAACUACCGAAAUUGUUGUGUUCGUAUUUUAGAGUUACAUUUUUUUGUUCGUUUCAUUGAUGAGUUUUUGUUUGUAUUUUAGAAAUUGAAUAGAAAAAGUGAAUGAUAUUUGUAGCUUGUUAUUGUGUUUCAAAAAGUCAUGUUAUAACUUUAUAAUCUGAUGCUCAUUUGUAAUGCCUGUAUUGAAAGAUGUGUAACAAUAUUAUCAGAAACGAAAUGUAUUUUUUUGUGUCUUUUUAAUAAAUUCUUUUCACAUUC